GACGAACGCUGGCGGCGUGCCUAAUACAUGCAAGUUGAGCGAUGAAGAUUGGUGCUUGCACCAAUUUGAAGAGCAGCGAACGGGUGAGUAACGCGUGGGGAAUCUGCCUUUGAGCGGGGGACAACAUUUGGAAACGAAUGCUAAUACCGCAUAACAACUUUAAACAUAAGUUUUAAGUUUGAAAGAUGCAAUUGCAUCACUCAAAGAUGAUCCCGCGUUGUAUUAGCUAGUUGGUGAGGUAAAGGCUCACCAAGGCGAUGAUACAUAGCCGACCUGAGAGGGUGAUCGGCCACAUUGGGACUGAGACACGGCCCAAACUCCUACGGGAGGCAGCAGGAGGGAAUCUUCGGCAAUGGACGAAAGUCUGACCGAGCAACGCCGCGGGAGUGAAGAAGGUUUUCGGAUCGUAAAACUCUGUUGGUAGAGAAGAACGUUGGUGAGAGUGGAAAGCUCAUCAAGUGACGGUAACUACCCAGAAAGGGACGGCUAACUACGUG
rnacentral:rRNA from 1 species